rnacentral:rRNA from 1 species
CGGGCGUCUUAACAUGCAAGUCGAACGGCAGCAUGACCUAGCUUGCUAGGUUGAUGGCGAGUGGCGAACGGGUGAGUAAUGCAUCGGAACGUGCCUUUUAGUGGGGGAUAACGUAGCGAAAGUUACGCUAAUACCGCAUAUUCUCUGAGGAGGAAAGCAGGGGACCUUCGGGCCUUGCGCUAGAAGAGCGGCCGAUGUCGGAUUAGCUAGUUGGUGAGGUAAAGGCUCACCAAGGCAACGAUCCGUAGCGGGUCUGAGAGGAUGAUCCGCCACACUGGGACUGAGACACGGCCCAGACUCCUACGGGAGGCAGCAGUGGGGAAUUUUGGACAAUGGGCGCAAGCCUGAUCCAGCCAUGCCGCGUGAGUGAAGAAGGCUUCGGGUUGUAAAGCUCUUUCGGCUGGGAAGAAAUCGCACUCUCUAAUACAGGGUGUGGAUGACGGUACCAGCACAAGAAGCACGGCUACUAC